UACGGAGGGGGCUAGCGUUGUUCGGAAUUACUGGGCGUAAAGCGCACGUAGGCGGCGAUCUAAGUCAGAGGUGAAAGCCCGGGGCUCAACCCCGGAAUAGCCUUUGAGACUGGAUUGCUAGAAUCCGGGAGAGGUGAGUGGAAUUCCGAGUGUAGAGGUGAAAUUCGUAGAUAUUCGCAAGAACACCAGUGGCGAAGGCGGCUCACUGGCCCGGUACUGACGCUGAGGUGCGAAAGCGUGGGGAGCAAACAGG
rnacentral:rRNA from 1 species